AUCCAGCGGAUGAGUCCCAAGUAGGACGAAAUGCGCGUCCUGGAU
rfam:Schistosoma rodhaini strain Burundi genome assembly, scaffold: SROB_scaffold0002600